CAGCAGCCACGGUAAUACGAAGGGUGCAAGCGUUACUCGGAAUUACUGGGCGUAAAGCGUGCGUAGGUGGUGGUUUAAGUCCGUUGUGAAAGCCCUGGGCUCAACCUGGGAAUUGCAGUGGAUACUGGGUCACUAGAGUGUGGUAGAGGAUAGUGGAAUUUCCGGUGUAGCAGUGAAAUGCGUAGAGAUCGGAAGGAACACCUGUGGCGAAGGCGACUAUCUGGGCCAACACUGACACUGAGGCACGAAAGCGUGGGGAGCAAACAGGAUUAGAUACCCCCGUAGUCCCUGUCUCUUAUAC
rnacentral:rRNA from 1 species